AUGGGUCGCUCGGGGAAAUUGCCCUCUGGUGUCUCGGCCAAGCUGAAGCGCUGGAAGAAAGGGCACAGCAGCGACAGCAACCCCGCCACUUGUCGCCAUCGCCAGGCCGCUCGGAGCCGCUUCUUCAGCCGCCCGUCAGGAAAGAGCGACCUGACAGUUGAUGCUGUGAAGUUGCAUAAUGAGCUGCAGUCGGGCACCCUGAGCCUGGGCAAAAGCCAAGCCUCUGAGACGACCAUGGACCAAGAGCCGGAGGUGGCUUUCACUGAGAAGUCCUCGGGCACGUUUCUGAGUGGCUUGUCAGACUGUACAAACGUCACUUUCAGCAAAGUGCAGCGCUUCUGGGAAUCCAACUCAGCUGGCCAUCUUGCUCGAUUUUUUGGAACUGCAGUGACCUGUCUUCUCUCCCCUCAUUCACAAGUAGUGGUGGCUGCUACCCAGACUCUGAAGGAGAUCCUGAAGGAGUGUGUGGCUCCACACAUUGCUGACAUUGGCUCUGUGACCUCUUCAGCCUCGGGCCCUCCCCAGUACAUCACUAAGAUGUUCAGGGCAGUGGAAGAGGGCCUCACAUACAAAUUUCAUGCGGCCUGGAGCUCUGUGCUGCAGCUCCUGGGUGUCUUCUUUGAAGCUUGUGGAAAGCAGGCCCAUCCUGUGAUGAAGAAGUGCCUCCAGUCCCUGUGUGACCUGCGCCUCUCUCCUCACUUCCCCCACACAGCAGCCCUAGACCAGGCUGUGGGGGCUGCAGUGACCAGCAUGGGUCCCGAGGUGUUGUUGCAGGCCGUGCCCUUGGAAAUCGAUGGCUCUGAGGAGACUCUGGAUUUCCCACGGAGCUGGCUGCUGCCUGUUAUCCGCGAUCAUGUUCGGGAAACCAGGCUUGGUUUCUUCACCACUUACUUCUUGCCCUUGGCCACCACUCUUAAAAGAAAAGCAAUGGACCUGGCUCAGGCAGGCAGCACAGUGGAGUCGAAGAUUUAUGAUACCCUCCAGUGGCAGAUCUGGACCCUCCUGCCUGGGUUCUGCACAAGGCCCACAGAUGUGGCUGCCUCCUUCAAAGGUCUGGCACGGACUCUGGGCACAGCUAUCAGUGAACGCCCAGACCUGAGGGUCACUGUGUGCCAGGCCCUACGCACCCUCAUCACUAAGGGCUGUGAAGCAGAGGCUGACCGUGCUGAAGUGAGCCGCUUUGCCAAAAACUUCCUGCCAAUCCUCUUCAACCUGUAUGGGCAGCCUGUUGCAGCUGGAGAGGCGGCAGCCCCUCGCCGUGCUGUGCUGGAAACCAUCAAAACUUACCUCACCAUAACUGAGUCUCAGUUGGUGAAUGGUUUCCUGGAAAAAGCCACUGAGAAGGUUCUCGAUCCUGCCAGCUCUGAUUUCACCAGAUUGUCUGUCCUGGACCUGGUUGUGGCUUUGGCUCCUUACUCGGAUGAAGCUGCCAUCACUAAGCUAUACGUUACCAUCCGACCCUACCUUGAGAGCAAGGUGCAUGGGAUACAGAAGAAGGCCUACCGUGUGCUGGAGGAGGUGUGUGCCAGUUCUCAGGGCCCCGCGGCCCGCUUCGUGCAGAGCCACCUGGAUGAUCUGAAGAAGACUCUGCUAGACUCGCUUCGGAGCACAUCCUCGCCUGCUAAAAGGCCCCGUUUGAAGUGCCUCAUACAUAUUGUGAAGAAGCUGUCGACUGAGCACGAGGAGUUCAUAGCAGCCCUCGUCCCAGAGGUGAUCCUGUGCACCAAGGAGGUGUCAGUGGGUGCACGGAAGAGUGCAUUCACCCUGCUGGUGGAGAUGGGCCACGCUUUCCUGCGAUUUGGCUCCAGCCAAGAAGACGCUCUGCAGCGGUACCUUGUCCUCAUCUAUCCUGGCCUUCUGGGUGCAGUUACCACAGUCAGUUGCAGCAUUUUGGCUCUGACCCACCUCUUGUUUGAGUUCAAAGGGCUGAUGGGAACCAGCACAGUGGAGCAGCUCUUGGAGAACGUGUGCCUGCUGCUGGCCUCUCGAACCCGUGAUGUGGUCAAGUCUGCACUAGGCUUCAUCAAGGUGGCCGUGGUGGUCAUGGACGUGGUGCACCUUGCUAAGCACGUGCAGCUAGUGAUGGAAGCCAUUGGAAAGUUGUCAGAUGACAUGCGACGGCACUUCAGGAUGAAGCUUCGGAACCUGUUCAUAAAGUUCAUCCGCAAGUUUGGAUUCGAGUUGGUGAAGGGUCUGCUACCUGCAGAAUACCACAAAGUCCUGAUAAACAUCAGAAAAACUGAGACCCGAGCCAAGAAGGAUCGCGCCCUGAGCCAUGCUGCUGUAGAGGAGGAGGAAGAGGAGGAAGAGGAAGAGGAGCCUGUCCAAAGCAAAGGUGACAGCAUUGAAGAGAUUUUGGCUGACUCUGAGGAUGAAGAUGAGGAAGAAGAAAGAGGCCGGGGCAAGGAGCAGCGGAAGCUGGCACGACAGAGGAAGACUGCAUUUUUUCCUCUUAUGUCCUUCCUCCUUCUGCCAGAGGAAGAUGAAGCAAGAAGCUGCACUUCAGAUGCCACUACCCUGAUCUUGGAAUUCCAAAUCUUCACAAUUGUGAAAGAAUAA